rnacentral:rRNA from 1 species
CAGUCGCCACGGUAAUACGGAGGGAGCUAGCGUUGUUCGGAAUUACUGGGCGUAAAGCGCGCGUAGGCGGUUACUCAAGUCAGAGGUGAAAGCCCGGGGCUCAACCCCGGAACUGCCUUUGAAACUAGGUGACUAGAAUCUUGGAGAGGUCAGUGGAAUUCCGAGUGUAGAGGUGAAAUUCGUAGAUAUUCGGAAGAACACCAGUGGCGAAGGCGACUGACUGGACAAGUAUUGACGCUGAGGUGCGAAAGCGUGGGGAGCAAACAGGAUUAGAUACCCGUGUAGUCCCUGUCUCUUAUAC